ensembl:lncRNA
AUAAUGUGCUGUAGUAUAAUGUGUUGUAUUAUAGUGUAUUGUAGAAUAAUGUAUUGUAGUAUAAUGUAUUGUAGUAUAAUGUAUUGUAGUAUAAUGUGCUGUAGUAUAAUGUGCUGUAGUAUAAUGUAUUGUAGUAUAAUGUAUUAUAGUAUAAUGUAUUGUAGUAUAAUGUAUUGUAGAAUAAUGUAUUGUAGUAUAAUGUGCUGUAGUAUAAUGCAAUGUAUUGUAGUAUAAUGUGUUGUAUUAUAGUGUAUUGUAGAAUAAUGUAUUGUAGUAUAAUGUAUUGUAGUAUAAUGUAUUGUAGUAUAAUGUGCUGUAGUAUAAUGUGCUGUAGUAUAAUGUAUUGUAGUAUAAUGUAUUAUAGUAUAAUGUAUUGUAGUAUAAUGUAUUGUAGUAUAAUGUAUUGUAGUAUAAUGUGCUGUAGUAUAAUGUAAUGUAUUGUAGUAUAAUGUAUUAUAGUAUAAUGUAUUGUAGUAUAAUGUAUUGUAGUAUAAUGUAUUGUAGUAUAAUGUGCUGUAGUAUAAUGUAAUGUAUUGUCUAAAAAAUUGUCUCUUUCUGUUCCAUUUUAGACAAACAGCCCUUCACAUUCAGGGCUUUCCCCAACACCAGGUCGGUCUGUCUGUCUGUCUGUCGGCCUCCCUCCCUCUGUCUGUCUGUCAGCCUCCCUCCCUCCGUCCGUCCGUCCGUCUGUCUGUCUGUCUGUCUGUCUGUCGGUCUGGUCUGUCUGUCUGUCUGUGUAUUUACACCAUUAUUCUCAUGUAACUAAAUUAUAUAUACUCAUUAACCAGUCUAAUGACCUGUAUAUAUUCAUUAACCUGUCUAAUGGCCUGUAUAUAUUCAUUAACCAGUCUAAUGAUCUGUAUAUAUUCAUUAACCAGUCUAAUGAUCUGUAUAUAUUCAUUAACCAGUCUAAUGAUAUGUAUAUAUUCAUUAACCAGUCUAAUGACCUGUAUAUAUUCAUUAACCAGUCUAAUGAUCUGUAUAUAUACUCAUUAACCAGUCUAAUGGCCUGUAUAUAUUCAUUAACCUGUCUAAUGGUCUGUAUAUAUUCAUUAACCUGUCUAAUGGCCUGUAUAUAUUCAUUAACCAGUCUAAUGGUCUGUAUAUAUUCAUUAACCUGUCUAAUGGUCUGUAUAUAUUCAUUAACCUGUCUAAUGGCCUGUAUAUAUUCAUUAACCAGUCUAAUGGUCUGUAUAUACUCAUUAACUAGUCUAAUGUCCUGUAUAUAUUCAUUAACCUGUCUAAUGGUCUGUAUAUAUUCAUUAACCAGUCUAUUAACCAGUCUAAUGGCCUGUAUAUAUUCAUUAACCAGUCUAUUAACCAGUCUAAUGACCUGUAUAUAUUCAUUAACCUGUCUAAUGACCUGUAUAUAUUCAUUAACCAGUCUAAUGGCCUGUAUAUAUUCAUUAACCAGUCUAAUGGCCUGUAUAUAUUCAUUAACCAGUCUAAUGGCCUGUAUAUAUUCAUUAACCUGUCUAAUGGCCUGUAUAUAUUCAUUAACCAGUCUAAUGGCCUGUAUAUAUUCAUUAACCAGUCUAAUGGCCUGUAUAUAUUCAUUAACCAGUCUAAUGGCCUGUAUAUAUUCAUUAACCAGUCUAAUGACCUGUAUAUAUUCAUUAACCAGUCUAAUGUCCUGUAUAUAUUCAUUAACCAGUCUAAUGACCUGUAUAUAUUCAUUAACCAGUCUAAUGGUCUGUAUAUAUUCAUGA